GGGCCGCAAGCAUUGGGGAGAUGCACCUGACUUUUAAACAGGGGAUCAAGGCUCGACUCCUUGGCGGCCCA
rnacentral:tRNA from 1 species